rnacentral:lncRNA from 1 species
UUCCGGUCUGAUAUUAUGCGUGUAGAUAACCUUUCUCUUUUCUUAAACAUUUCUUCUAGAAAAGUUUCUAACUUUAAUGCAUUAUGCUCACAUUACACGUUACAAACAGUUUCAGAUUGAGUUCUAUAUUAAGCGAAAAUGUGAAAGUGAAGGAAGAAGACCUAGUAAGUUUAAUUGAACUUUUUAGGUUAAUGAUAGAUUAAUAAUUAAGUAAUCUUGCUUAAAGUGAAUAACAAUUCAUUGUUGUAGAUAUCUAAUCAAGUAAUCAUGCUCCUUUUCAGCUUGCGCUCUCGCUUCCUUCCCCUUAUAUAAGCCUCUUCCAAUUCGUUUACUACAAACUUCACAAAUUUUGAAUCUUUCACCUUCCUCUAUAUUC